CUCUUCCGAUAUCUUACACGAAACAAACUUGCUUGUCGCUUUUGGUUAUGCUUUUCUUCUUACCAGAGAUAACACUUGCAAAAUUUAUAAAUAUACCAGGGAGCUUUUUGGUAA